AUAUUUUCUCGUAGUAACUUCUGGUACGGGACUCAACGUGGGGGGCCUUCCCUCUCUAAGGGCUGCCCCCUCUUCAUGUCAGCCGUAAUAAUAACUUUUGUUGGCCAUGGUUCUUUGAUUAUCGGAACGUAGAAUUGUGUGGAGAUUAUCGGUUCCCACCAUAUGAUUCCCUAAGUCAAUUCUCACCCCAUGAGCGUUCGAUAUAUGAUGAUGAUGUUGCUGCUGCUGCUGCUGCUGCUGCUGCUGUUGAACCAAUUGCUGCUGUUGCUGAUGUCCGUGGAGUAAACUUCCGCUUCCGAUUCCUGCAUGGGUACGGGAACGGGGGUGGUGAGAUCAAUGUCGGCGUCGAUCUCCGAUAUAUCGUCGGUGAAACCGUUUGGCAAUGCUUCGUUAUUGGCGUGAAAUUUGGCGUCUCUUUUCGCACGAUGGCGGCUCACGAGAAGACGACCGAUAACCAAACCGAGGAACAAAAGUAUCCCAGCCGUCACCGAUACGAUUAUGUAGAGAUAGAAUUUCUCCUGAUUUUCUGUCGGAGAAUUGAUCAAAUGUAAAUUGAAAAAACAAAUUUCGUCUUGUUCUUCUUACGUCAUCGAAGAGACGUUCAAUUAUCAUGAUAGGUUUAGAUAAAUGGGUGUAAUAUAUUUUAGAGUUAAUGAAUUAUUAAUAUAAAAUAAUUUAAGAUGAUGAAAAUUUGGAAAAAUUUCAAAAUACGCAUGUCAUCG
rnacentral:misc_RNA from 1 species